CCAAUAGCGUAUAUUAAAGUUGUUGCAGUUAAAAAGCUCGUAGUUGAACUUCGGGGUUCACCCAUUGGUCAGGCUUAAUUGUCUGCACUGGUGAGAUGAGUCUCUACCUUCUGAGGAACUUUCAUGCCAUUUAUUUGGUGUGAUUGGAAAUCAGGACUGUUACUUUGAAAAAAUUAGAGUGUUUAAAGCAGGCUAACGUCUGAAUACAUUAGCAUGGAAUAAUGAAAUAGGACGGACUGAUUCUAUUUCGUUGGUUUCUAGGAUCACCGUAAUGAUUAAUAGGGAUAGUUGGGGGCAUUAGUAUUCAAUUGUCAGAGGUGAAAUUCUUGGAUUUAUUGAAGACUAACUACUGCGAAAGCAUUUGCCAAGGAUGUUUUCAUUAAUCAAGAACGAAAGUUAGGGGAUCGAAGACGAUCAGAUACCGUCGUAGUCUUAACCAUAAACUAUGCCGACUAGGGAUCAGAUGAUGUUAAUUUUUUAAUGACUCAUUCGGCACCUUACG
rnacentral:rRNA from 1 species